rnacentral:lncRNA from 1 species
UCAGGAUCCCAACUUCUAUGAAUCUUUUUCUUGAAAAAUGCAUGAACAAAGGACUCUUCCAUUGGGAUUUUAUCUUCUCCUAGCGUUGUGACACUAAUAUUAAGUGACUUUAUAGACCGGCGAAGAACAUUUGGACGUUGCACAGCGAAGAAAAAUCAGUUCUCUAAUUGAGAAAGUGAGAAUUCAUAAUGGUCUCAUCCUCAUUCUUCAGUUUCCAUUGCAACGAUCAUUUAUCGGUUGUGUUGUUUCCUAAUAUACAGACAAGAAUCGAAAAGUGGCAUGAAGUUCUGGACAUUGGGUGUGGGUGGGGAAUCUUAGCUAUUGAAGUUGUCAAAAGAACAGGAUGCAAGUAUACUGGCAUCACUCUAUCAGAGAAGCAGCUGAAGUAUGCUGAAGAUAAAGUGAAG